rnacentral:rRNA from 1 species
GACGAACCGUGCGAACGCUGUUCGGAAUCACUGGGCUUAAAGGGUGCGUAGGCGGGUUGUCCAGUCUGGGGUGAAAUCCCACGGCUCAACCGUGGAACUGCCUCAGAUACUGACGAGCUCGAGGGAGGUAGGGGCGAGCGGAACUGUGGGUGGAGCGGUGAAAUGCGUUGAUAUCCACAGGAACUCCGGUGGCGAAGGCGGCUCGCUGGACCUCUGCUGACGCUGAGGCACGAAAGCUAGGGGAGCAAACGGG